UACAGAGGCCUCAAGCGUUGUUCGGAAUUACUGGGCGUAAAGCGAAUGUAGGUGGUGAAGUAAGUCAGAUGUGAAAGCCCUGGGCUCAACCCGGGAACUGCAUUUGAUACUGUUUUACUAGAGUGUGAGAGAGGAAAGGGGAAUUCCCGGUGUAGGAGUGAAAUCCGUAGAUAUCGGGAGGAAUACCGAUGGCGAAGGCACCUUUCUGGCUCAUUACUGACGCUGAGAUUCGAAAGCAUGGGUAGCAAACAGG
rnacentral:rRNA from 1 species